CAGCUAAGUGUUAAAGAACAAAUAGUGUUUGAAGGCAUAGACAGCUGGAAGGUUGGCUUAGAGGCAGCCAUCCUUUAAAGAGUUCGUAACAGAUCACCAGUCAAGUCUCUGAGCCUAGAAAAUGGACGGGACUAAGUUGUUCACCGAUACUUUGGGCCACCGAAAGGUGAUGCGAUAGAGAGGCGUCGUGCGCGGGUGGAAGUGGGGCCGUGAGGUCCUGUGGACCGCGUUCGAAUGAUAAUCAUGGAAAUAGUAGUAGCGUAGAUGGGUGAGAAUCCCAUCCGCCGGAGGGGCUAGGGUUCCUCGACGAUGUUCAUCAGUCGAGGGUUAGUCGGUCCUAAGGUUCCCCCUAACAGGAGGAAUCGAAAGGGAAGCAGGUUAAAAUUCCUGCACCAAUUCACAUUUUGUCCAUUUCCUGACACAUCGGGUCCAGUGGAGCACUCUUGUCUGAGUGUUGCCUUCAGCAAUAAAUUUGUGGAGUACCGUAAUGGUGAGAAACAAACUAAGCUGUUGGGAGGCGAAGUAUUUCGCUUCUGCUCUAGCCUGGUGUCCGUGAAAAGGGAUCUGGAGUCGUGUGAGUUGUCCGUACCGAGAUCUGACACAGGUGCCCCUAGGUGAGUAGCCUAAGGCGUCGCGGCAUAAUCAAGGCAAGGGAAUUCGGCAAAUUGGCCCCGUACCUUCGGUAGAAGGGGUGCCAGCCUUGCAGAAGGCUGGUCGCAGUGACCAGGGAGCUCCGACUGUUUACUAAAAACACAGGUGGCUGCUAGUCCGUAAGGAUGUGUAUAGCCGCUGAAUCCUGCCCAGUGGCGGUAUCUGAAACCCGGUUUCACCCGGACGAAGGACCGCUAAACGGCGGGGGUAACUAUGACCCUCUUAAGGUAGCGUAAUACCUUGUCGCUUAAUUGGCGACUUGCACGAAUGGCCUAACGAGAGCUCUACUGUCCCUGCCUUGAGCCCGAUGAAAUUGACGUACUGGCGCACAGUCCAGUACGUCCCAGCCGCAAGCGAAGACCCCGUGGAGCUUUACUGCAACCUGCCGUUGUGGCACGAGUUGUUUUGUGUAGAGUAGACGGGAGACAUUACACAGGUGCGAGCGCUAGCUCGUCGCCGAGUCAUUGAUGAAACACCGUCCUUUUCGAUUCGUCCCACUCACCUCUUCGGAGGAACCCCGGUAGGCGGGCAGUUUGGGUGGGGCGCCACUCCCUCGAAAAUAUAACAAGGGAGCCCAAAGGUCAGCUUAGGUAGGUCAGAAAUCUACCGUUAAGUGCAAGGGCAAAAGCUGGCUUGACGUGGUUUGGCAACACAACAAACCAUGAUGCGAAAGCAAGGCCUAGCGAACCAACCAGCGCCGUUAGUAGGUGCGGUUGAUAACAGAAAAGUUACCCCGGGGAUAACUGAGUUGUCUGGAGCAAGAGCCCACAUCGACCUCCAGGCUUGCUACUUCGAUGUCGUCUCUUCCUAUCCUGGGUGUGCAGAAGCACCCAAGGGUGGGGUUGUUCGCCCAUUAAAAGGGAUCGUGAGAUGGGUUUAGACCGUCGUGAGACAGGUUUGUUGCUUUGUGGUUGAAGUGUUGAUGCCUGAUGGAAAGGGCCCUCUAGUACGAGAGGAACGAGGGCUCGGGGCCACUAGUCUACCAGUUGUCUGACAAGGCAAUGCUGGGUAGCCACGCCCUAUGUGGAUAAGAGCUGAAAGCAUCUAAGCUCGAAGCCACCCCAAAAACGAGGCAUCUAUGAACAGGCGGUAGAAGACCGCAUGAUAGAGGCCGGGUGUAAGCACGGAGGUUCGCCGACGUGCUCAGCCCAGGCUGACUAAUGUUCAGCAUCUAUUC
rnacentral:rRNA from 1 species